CCAUUAAAGUCAAUGGGAACAUUAAGCAAUCUCAGCCCUUAGAUGAAGCCAAGAUUAAAUCCUGACCGUUAUAAAUCAGAAAAAGUUUCUAGAAGGGGAGGUUUAUUUUGGUUUCACUUUGACCGAACUUGUGCGAAAUUGUUGGAACUCCCACGUUCUAUUUGAAAUUUGAAACCUUUGUUCUAUCUUCUAGAAGGAGUAACCUCUCUCCUGUAUAGGAGCAGUUAUUGGAAACAACGCGGGAUCGGUUUUUGUAACCUACUAGGUACAGUUUUCCAGAUCUUCGCAACCCUAUAUACAACCCCACGUCUACCCUCAUCCCAAGCUCUUCUGCAAUUGUUUCUAAUUUCUUUUCAUCUUCACAUGGAGAUGCUUCUCAAUUCUCAUUAUACCUUAAUUGGCGAGAACACUAGUCCGUACGCCAUUGCAUCUUCCACUCUUCACCAAAAAGGUUGAAUAAUAAUUUCGAAUGGCUGAAGUGAAGAACCCUCUGGCAGGCUUUUUUUUAUUUAUUGCAAUACGAUUGAUUGACGAAGAUAUUUCUUUCACCAAAAUCACUGGCUCAAAAGCUUCAAAUCGAUGUUCUUGUCUGAUGCUCAGGCAGUCCAGAAGAAGCUACUAGGUGGAUUUGGAUACAUGAGUUGCAGGUACAAACUCAAAAAGAUGGUAGCCAUUUAGGUCAAGAUGGUUGGUGGGGUGCAGAGGAGGCUGAUGUAAACCGAUUAACUGCAGCAGUUAUGGCUUUUGAUUUCGGGUCAGAGUCCGGGCAGUUUUCGUUGAAAAGUCUUAGAUGUUUGAUGGAACACAAGUUUUUUUUUUCAGAUCUGCGGAUUGGAUAUGAAUGGAAUGGGUGGGUUCCUAUUAAGGUAAAUUUUGUGGCAUGGAGACUUGUCUUAAAUAGGUUGCCAACUGCUGUGAAUUUGGUCCAAAGAAACAUUAAUAUUCCAGACACAAGGUGCAAGGUUUGUAAUGAAGAAGACGAGUCGGCAUCGCAUUUGUUCGUGGCAUGCAAUUUUGCUCAGAAGGUUUGGGAUUUUGUAGUGGGUUGGUGCAGGCUUGGACCCCUUUUUUAUCCUUGAACUAGAAGAUUUGGUGACUGUCCAGAAUUCAUACCUCAGCUUGGCGAAGUGGAAGAAACUCAAGAAAUGGGCAUUCAUGUGAAUUUUGGGUCUUCUUUGGUGGGAUGCUUUGAUUGGCAAGAAGAUAGCAACUGAAGAUUAAACAAUGUCAUAUAAAACUCCUGCCAAACUUUAUUGGUAUAUUUCCAUGUUAUCACUUAGUUAGGCGAUACUGAUUAUUGCUACCUAAAAAAUGUGUAUAAACCCCACCCCUCAACUUCAAGAAACAUUCCAAGAUUUGUUACUCACAGUUUAUAUUAUAGGGAAGAGUGUAUG